UACGUGAAACCGUUCAGGGGUAAACCUGAGAAACCCGAAAGGUCGAAAGGGGAGAUUCAACGCGUCUCGGAGUUCGCGAGCGGCGUGCGUAUGACGGGCGGCCGUUUUAGGACGAUACCAGCCCGCUCCGCGCGUCGACCGAUCGGGCACCGAACGCGUGCACUUCUCCUCCUGUAGGACGUCGUGACCCGUUGGGCGCCGGCCUAAGGACCGCGGUGGAGCCCGGACGCCUUUGGCGCGUCCGGACCCGCGGCUUCCCGGCCGGUACGACCGACGGUACAACUACGGCGAGGGGCCGCGACAAGUUCGCGUCCGGCGCGUCGCAAGCGCGAACGGUAAACGGGGGCAGUCCGGGCCUGGUACCGGAUCCCGAACCGUUCGGCUGUUAGCGGCGCGGUCCUCGGACAGAGCCCGUCUCACGCCAGUCUACGGCGCUAUAGCUUUGGGUACUUUCAGGACCCGUCUUGAAACACGGACCAAGGAGUCUAGCAUGUGCGCGAGUCAUUGGGACUCAAUUAAACCUAAAGGCGCAAUGAAAGUGAA
rnacentral:rRNA from 1 species